rnacentral:rRNA from 1 species
UAUCCUACGGGGCGCAGCAGUGAGGAAUAUUGGUCAAUGGGCGCAAGCCUGAACCAGCCAAGUCGCGUGAGGGAUGACGGUCCUAUGGAUUGUAAACCUCUUUUGUCGGGGAGCAAGGCCCGCCACGUGUGGCGGGAAGGAGAGUACCCGAAGAAAAAGCAUCGGCUAACUCCGUGCCAGCAGCCGCGGUAAUACGGAGGACGCGAGCGUUAAUCGGAAUUACUGGGCGUAAAGCGCGCGUAGGCUGUUUCGUAAGUUGGGGGUGAAAUCCCACGGCUCAACCGU